rnacentral:rRNA from 1 species
GCUCAAAGCUCACGUCAUCUUAUGACAUCUCGACAUUGACCUCAAUCGGUGGACUACCCGCUGAACUUAAGCAUAUCAAUAAGCGGAGGAAAAGAAACUAACAAGGAUUCCCCUAGUAACGGCGAGUGAAGAGGGAAAAGCUCAAAUUUUGAAUCUGGUGUCUUUGACUCCCGAGUUGUAAUCUAGAGAAGUGUUUUCCGUGUCGGACCGUGCACAAGUUCCCUGGAACGGGGCGUCAUAGAGGGUGAGAAUCCCGUAUAUGGCAUGGACUACCGAUGCUUUUGUGAUACACUCUCAACGAGUCGAGUUGUUUGGGAAUGCAGCUCAAAAUGGGUGGUAAAUUCCAUCUAAAGCUAAAUAUUGGCGAGAGACCGAUAGCGAACAAGUACCGUGAGGGAAAGAUGAAAAGCACUUUGGAAAGAGAGUGAAACAGUACGUGAAAUUGUUGAAAGGGAAGCGUUUGAAGUCAGUCAUAUCUGGUGGGAUUCAGCCGGGCUUUUGCCAGGUGUACUUCUCGUACGAUGGGUCAGCAUCAAUUUCGACCGGGGGAAAAAGGCAUUGGGAAUGUGGCUGUCUUCGGGCAGUGUUAUAGCCCUUUGUUGUAUGCCUCGGUUGGGAUUGAGGAUCGCAGCGCGCCUCAUGGCCAGGGGUUCGCCCCUUGAUACGCGCUUAGGAUGCUGGCAUAAUGGCUUUAAGCGACCCGUCUUGAAAC